CGAGAGACGCCGACGACGUCGAGAGACGCCGACGACGUCGAGAGACGACGACGAGAGACGGCGACGACGACUCCCACCCCUUUCCCCAAAGCGAUCGGCAACCGAAGAAAAGAGAGCGAGGAAAAAAGGGGCGGCCACUGAAAGCGAAACGUCUAAUUUAAACGUGUAUCCGCACUUGUGGUUGUUCGUAGUUAGGUUUUUAUUUAAGUGUUUUUAUUGCACGUUACAAAACGUCGCGUCUUUUUUUUAAGAAGACGGGGGUGGGGGGGAAGCGUGUCCACUCAUUCAGCGGCACAAUUUCAACAACAACACAAAAAAAGUCUGUACGCUUUCCCGCGUACGGACCCGUAUACUGUCGAGCACGGUUGUGUACAUUUCUUUAAAUGUCUUGAACUUAUGGUGAAGCUUUGGGUUAAAGGUUUAUUGUAAAGGGUGGCGGGUUUUCAAUGUGCCUGUAGUCGCCGCCUGUCGCUCGUUAGCCAUCGUCUCUCUCUCUGGGCUCACCUUCAAUCCUGGCGAUGGCAUCGAGAAUACAACAUCUCCCCAAACAUCGGUCGUAGCAAUUGUCGACGGGAAUACCGCGGUGCGUGCGCGCAAGGCCGUGACUUGCAGGGCAGAGAGGUGGGUGGCAGUACCAGCAAGUGGGUUGGUAACCUACCUGUACAGAAAAAAAAGCGUGCGUUCGUGUCACGGCACGCGCGCGUGUGUUUUGUCUGGAGUGGGGUCGCGGUUGGCGCGCUGCGCUGAAAAAACCGGCGACCCGAGUUCGGAUUCCCGUUCAUGGGCCAACACAAGUGACGAUUAUCUGAACCGGUCUUGUGCAUCCCUCCCUGGGCUCACUAGGCCCCAAAUGAGUACCUGAUUCGGUGUAAACAUCAGCACUGGGGAGACAAAGGCGACCGGGCGUGGUGUUUGUCCACCCACCUCUUGUGCUGUGCAGGCCUUCAUUAGGUGCUCGCUAACAGCACUUGCCCACAGUCUGUUAAGGAUACUCGGGGGAUCGUUGUCUUGUGGAUAAUCCGGUUUCCACCCCACACGAAAUUAAAAAAAGAGUAAAGUCCAUGAAUUAUACAAACUUUCCAAGGCAGGGCCCUCCUGGAAAACGGAGACUAGCGAGGCUUUCCUGGAAAAAAAAUAACGAAGCUCUGCAAAGAACUGUUUAAUGACUGCCUUUUUGACUGCAGCGGGAAAAUAAUUUUGCAAGGUUCACUUAAAACAAAAAUUAACUUGUAAAAAAUGUCAAAACAGCAUCUGCCACUCGCAUGUCCCUACUGUUAAAACGUUGUACAAAGUCGUCCCGAGCAUCUCUGAUGAAGGGUUCUUCUGCACGUUGUCCAUCACCGCACGCUAAGAAAGACCAUCUCUCAUAAAAAAUGAAAGUAAAAAAAUGCAAUGUACAGAAUGUUAUUGUUUUGAAGUGUACAUUUUCUUAAAAGACUCAAUGGUGUAAGCAAGAUUUAAUGUUAUGCUGCUGCAUCAGCAAACGAAAGUGUUUUUUUUCAAUUAAUAUUUUUUCUAUUUGGUUAUUGUUACAGCUGGCAAAAAAUGCAAAUAAUAAAAACUGGACACUACAUCACCCCCCCGCAAGUAGAUACAUCAAGGACAAUUAAUGUUAAGAUUCAUAUGGUAAGAAUGAGAGCACACACCUUUUCCAUUGACACAUCCGAACCGAGCCAACGUGGGGUUCCUCGCAGAACUGGUGGUGUUUUUAUUUUCCAUUGAGCAUUUGCAGAGCAGCCACAACGCAUAACCGUGCCAUGCUGGCCUCAAGACAUCCGAGUCGAUUUCUGGCCCAGAUGUACGGUGGGAAAGAGUUAAAGGGAAGACCGGCUUUGAGAGGAUGUUCAGACUUCUUCUUUCGUGUGGAUUAAUAACAGCAGAUUAAAGAUGCCGUUUUUAAUUUGUUAUCCACUCGGUUCAGGAAACGGUUUUGGGGGAUCCGUGUGUCUCGCACAGCUCUGAGAGGUGUUGGCACCUUGUGCUUGCACGGGAUGGAGUUUCCCCUCUCGACCGCACGAGGUUUCGCCCCCCUCCCUCCCCUACCUCCAGUUGCUCUGUGAAGCUGUUCACUCACAAGGAUUGUUACUCUCUUAGCGUCAUUCUAACCGAACCCUCCAUGUCGACUUCAACGCAUGUUUAAUUGCAUUGCAUGCGCCGCGAUAAAUUUUCACCUUUUGUUAUUUUUCCCCCGUUCAGAUUUUUUGCCAGCUGCUAAAGGGAUGAUGCUCAUUGUAGACGUUCUGUGUAAUGUAGAGUGCGGGUACGGUCACGCAAAAACAAAUGAAUCGAUGUAAUUAUUUUGCUCGACCAAAAUCGCUUUAGUGUAAAGAUUUUAAAAAACGACUUUACGAGAUGUGAUAUUUUUAUACACCUGCAAAUCUUUAUACUUGGACACUGCGGCAUGGCUUCUGAAUAAAGGCAAAGUACAUUUCACCCAA